GAUGAAUGCUGGCGGCGUGCCUAAUACAUGCAAGUCGUACGGAAAGGCCCUUCGAGGUACUCGAGUGGCGGACGGCUGAGUAACGCGUGGGAACGUGCCCCAAAGUGAGGAAUAACUGCCCGAAAGGGUAGCUAAUGCCGCAUAUGGUCUUCGGAUUAAAGCUUCGGCGCUUUGGGAGCGGCCCGCGUACGAUUAGAUAGUUGGUGAGGUAAUGGCUCACCAAGUCGACGAUCGUUAGCUGGUCUGAGAGGAUGAUCAGCCAGACUGGAACUGAGACACGGUCCAGACUCCUACGGGAGGCAGCAGUAAGGAAUCUUCCACAAUGGGCGAAAGCCUGAUGGAGCAACGCCGCGUGCAGGAUGAAGGCCUUCGGGUCGUAAACUGCUUUUAUAAGUGAAGAAUAUGACGGUAACUUAUGAAUAAGCACCGGCUAACUACGUGCCAGCCGCCGCCGUAA
rnacentral:rRNA from 1 species